AAGACCUCAAAUUAGACUAUCUGAUGGAUCUCCUAUUAAGGAUAAGUACCAAUUCGGACAAGCUUGGGCUUCAUUUAAAAGUGCUAGACCUGAGUAAACUCCCUCUUCCCUGCAUGAAUAUAAACAAAGGGCAUGAGGAAGGUGAAGGUCCUAGUAACUUGUGGGGGAGUUGCAUGCACUCAAUUGCUUGAUAGCAUAAUCUGCACCUGUUCUGCCACCGUUCUUAUACUUCUUCUGGGAGGCAAUAAAAGAAAGAUCAAUAAUUGGCCAAGAACUUGUGUUACCAAAGUAGUUUGCUAGUAUCAACAAAAAGCUAUGCCCAUGCUAUCAUCCUGUAUGUGGAGGGAUAGCUCAGUGGUUUGAGCAUUGGCCUGAUAAAACCCAGGGUUGUGAGCUCAGUCCUUGAGGGCCA